CGUCUCCCCCGCGCGCCGGCGGCCGUGGUAUCGCCCAAGGCGGAAGGGGCUCCUCGACAGAACCUGUUCGCUGGCGCAGAGAUGGCUGCGGGCGUCCCCUGCGCGCUAGUCACCAGCUGCUCAUCCACCUUUUCCGCAGACCGGCUAGUCCAACAUAUCCUUGGAACAGAAGAUCUUAUUGUGGAAGUGACUGCCAACGAUGCCGUGAGGUUUUAUCCCUGGACCAUUGAUAAUAAAUACUAUUCAGCAGAUAUCAAUCUGUGUGUGGUGCCAAACAAAUUUCUCAUCACUGCAGAGAUUGCAGAGUCUGUCCAAGCAUUUGUGGUUUACUUUGACAGCACACAAAAAUCUGGUCUCGAUAGUGUUUCCUCCUGGCUUCCACUGGCAGAAGCAUGGUUACCUGAGGUGAUGAUCUUGGUUUGCGAUAGAGUGUCUGAAAAUGGUGUAAACCGACAGAAGGCUCAAGAGUGGUGUAUCAAACAUGGCUUUGAAUUAGUAGAACUUAGUCCAGAAGAGUUGCCUGAGGAGGAUGAUGACUUCCCAGAAUCUACAGGAGUAAAGCGAAUUGUUCAAGCCUUGAAUGCCAAUGUCUGGUCCAAUGUAGUGAUGAAGAAUGAUAGGAACCAAGGCUUUAACCUUCUCAGCUCAUUGGCUGGAGCAAACCAUAGCACUGGAUCAGCAGAGACCUGCCACUCAGAGCAGCCCCAGUUGCCAGCAGCAGAGAGGACUGAACCCCUCUUGGAUAAUCGAGGUGGUGCGUCUAAUACAACAGACACUCAGGUCGAUAGCAUCAUGGAUCCCACGUUAGACCUGGAUAUUCAAGAACUAGCCAGUCUUACUACAGGCGGAGGAGAUUUGGAGAAUUUUGAAAGACUAUUUUCAAAGUUAAAAGAAAUGAAAGACAAGGCUGCGACGCUUCCUCACGAGCAAAGAAAGUUGCACGCAGAAAAGGUGGCCAAAGCUUUCUGGAUGGCAAUUGGGGGAGACAGAGAUGAAAUUGAAGGCCUUUCAUCUGAUGAAGAACACUAAAUUAUUCAUGCUAGGGCUUGACUAACAAAGACCCUAGCUCUCUCUACCUGAGAUACUUCCCUGCUCAACCCAGUCAUCUUUUGCUGAACUCCCCAUCAUCAUGUUGGCCGCCUGACUUGUUUAUAGGCUCCCGUGAAUUUUAGUUUUUAGUAGGGGGUAAAGCAGAAAUCUCUUCUCCCUCAGAAUAUCGUAAGGGAGUGAGAAUGACAGUAAGGAGUGAGAAAUUCUCAAAUACACUUUUCUGCUCUACGAACAGGAGUGGGAUGAGGCUCAAAGGCCUGUGUGAUAUGCCCAAGUUAAAGAAGAACCACCAAGCCACUCCUAGUCAGUCUUUUAAGCAGCAUUCCCCGCGUUCACACUUAAUCACUGCAGAUCGGGAGCUUGUGCCACCUUUCCUGGGUUGUGGAUUUUUUCUGUCAAGGAACUUGCUGCUCUGAGGUUUGAUGCUUUUGAUGGGAGGAAAGAUUUAAUUUGUGCUGUAGUAUAGACUAUGUGCCAAAGCCACUGGCCCUCAGGUUAGUCUCUAGCUAAAAAAAAAAAAAAAUGCAUCUGGGCAUUUCAUUCGAAAUAUAGUAUCUGAGCUCAUGCUAGAAAGUAUUGAGAAACCAUUGUGAAUUUUUAGACUGUAAUAAAUGAUGCAAGGGUUUCCCACUCUGGUAGGGAUAAAAUAAACCCUUCUCUACCAAGUUGUGGGUCUGUUGGUACGCGUGUGUAAGAGAGAGAGAAGCUUAAGGAAUUCCCUCUGUAGGCCACUGAAAUGGUAUGAUCAUAUCCUGAGAUUUUUGCAUUAGUGUUACCAUGGAGAAAGUUUUCUUUCUUAGAGUUCGCUAUUUGAGAUGGCAGAGCUGUGUUGUCACAACUCAUACCCUCAAAACAAGGCAAGUUUCCUUUUCUCUUUCUGAAAGCCAGAGAUCACUGCCAAAAUAGUAACACUAAGGAGUGGGCGUGCUGGGAAAGGAUAUGAAAUGUUAGGCAGUGAAUCCCUGAGUACCUUGUGUUACUUCCAGGGCUGGGUGGGUCAGCUUCAGGGGAACUGAUCACCAAGGGGAACGUUUCCUGAGGAAGAGUGGGAAAUACAGCAAAUGUAAUCCUUAUUUCUGUUUUCGUAGGCACUUUGUAAUGCAUGUCAUGAGCCUUCACUGUGGUAGUCACUGCCAUGGCUCUAAACUGGCUCAGGGCACAUGGCCUGAGAACUGCUCCUGGCCUAGUGUGGGUAGGAACCUCUUAGAUCACCAGCAGAAACAAGUUUCAGACACCUCUGUGCAACUCCUUCUAAGCACUGCAGAGCCUGACAGAUGGCAGAAUGACUGCAAUGCUCCAGGUUCCGGGCCAGGGCGACUGCGGGAGGGAAGGUUUCAGUGAUUGGAGCCAUUCCAGGGAACAUUGGAGGCUAUCUUGCUUGAUACUUUUUCUUUUCUUUUCUCUUUUCUUUUCACUAUUCUGAAGGUCUUAGAGACUGUACCAUCAUUCCUCCAGUGUUUCUUUGAGGUGACUGCAUCAGCCAUUGACUGGGAAUAUAAGGGAAGCUGGCUCUGGGGUUGCAAGAUGAAAGAACUUGGCCACAUCUAAUUCAGAGAAGCUGGAGAUUCAGGGACGCUAGACUUAGAUGGCUGAGUAAUAUGGGAUGUGGUUCAAGGACCAUAGAGCGUGUCAAGCCAUUACUGCAAACUACUUAUAACAAAGGAAAUGUGAUCUAUUGCUAACUUCGUGUUCCCACCAUGGAGAGGUGAGGAUAAACAUUUUUGCCGUGGCCUGUCAGAUUCCCUUAACCUUGGGUCAGUCUCUUGACAAUGGCCAUCGAGAGAGCACGUGGAGUGCCCCUUGGCCUGCCGUGGAAAAACAGUCUUUGAAGAAUCACUGUCUAAGGGUAAGAUGAGAGCUCCCUGAACUAUUCUGAGCUGGAGUGUUUGCUGAUACAAAGCUAAAUUUAGCCAACAUGUGUCCAGUAUGGUCAGAGGUUUGAUUCAUUCAACGUUCUGACUGAUGGAGACCAAGAAUGCUAGAUGAGUUAAGAGGUGCCUUUCACCCCCGACCCAAAAAACUUUAAAAUAGGCAAGACAGCUUAGCUACAGCAUUCUAUCAUUAAAUACCCAUCUCAUAGAGGACUGUAGGCAGAGAAAGUAUGAAAAAUCAGGUCAAGUGUACCCCCUUAGUACAAGAUUUUAAAACAACACCCUAACAAUUAUUACUUGCCCAUAAUUUGUAUGUUCCUAAAAGCAUCAUGCUGACAGUACAGGGUGAAGUUCUAGUUUUGAUUUAGAUUCCACUUGGGGUUUAGUUUAGUGAUCCAUCCUUGCCCCUUUGGCAUGUAAGCUCUUGCAGAAAAGGGUCUUAGACGUUUUCUAAGUUUUAUAUUUUGGGCAUUACCUAUGCCUGUUAUUAACAUCACCAGCCUUGCUCUUAAUGUAGGUGUCUUUAUUCAGAGUUAAGUGUGUGUUACAGUUCCUCUAGUAUAGGAAGUAUCUUUCUCGAUCCUGAGGUGUUUCUUUGAUUUGCAGAAUGAAGAAUUGAGAAGAGGUAAUAGCAACGGCGUGAUCUUUUGUUGGAACACCACUGAGCCCUGGUCCAGAGCUAAAUGAUGUGCUGUCCUACUUUGUUCCCCGUCGGAAACGUAUUGAUUCAAAACCUGGACCUAAUGGUUAUAACUAACUGCAUCUUUAGAACACAGGAAAUCUCAGGAAGUCAUUAAUGGUGUUAGAAGGCCUCAGACUUGAAGCUAAAGACGAGCAACUGCAACCUGUUCCUUUAUGCUGGUGAGAGCUGAAACGAGGACUCAGUGCAGCCAGCACUGGCUGGGACCCUCCUCGGUGACACACUGUGCUGGCCGUGGCCGAGCCUGCAGACUUGGGAAAAUCUGGCAGCAGGACUAGCCAACACCAAUUGAUUUACCAGUCUGCCUGGAGAGCUGUGUUGAGAAGGAUUCUGAAGCUGAGAAUGGACCCAGCACUGUGGAGCUAAGUCAUGUGAGCUGGAGAGUGUGGAAACCUACUUCUUUCGGAACCUGAAACCUACCUCCAUUGCUUGUGGCAAGAUUAAUCCGGUGGCGUCCACUCACUUGCCAAAGGCUCUCAAAUACAAGGGAAACGAACGCGAAGUAACAACGCAGAGACAGCGUCGCUGGGACUUGUGCAGCGCUGGGAGACGUGCCAACUGGGAGACUUGACACCUUCACGUGCCUGACCCGGAGGCUCCCGCUAUCCCUGCAGGACUGGCUGGCACCGCGUGUUGCCCUCGUUUUAAUAUCCUAGAUCCUCAGGGUCCCCAGGUCAGAGGUGGAGCCACGGAGGAGAGAAGGAACAGUGAGAUGAAGACUUAACUCCCCGGAGAGGGUCGUCCUAAAACCAUCUGCCCAAAACGAACAAGGAGGAAGACGCCAAGAGGACACAGUCCUAGGCUCAGCUUUUCCACAAAUGAUGCAACUCCAGGCAACCUGACCUCUCUGAACUUGUCUCCUCAGCAUGCCUCCUCGCCCGAAGAGCUAGAAUAACUGGUGAGGACUAAGUGAGCCCCAAGACAGCCGUGUGCUCUGUAAACGCAACCACACGACGUUCCAGAAAUGGAGAGCACCACGAGCAUCUCAAACGCUUUGCAUUCUUAAGUGGAUCCAGCCCAUGACCCACCGCUCCACCAUCACCUGCUACUUAGUGAGCAGGAAGACAUGCCACACACAUGCCGCAGGCAAUGGACUGAGCCACACACUCUACCCACCGGGCAUAGUCCACACUCUGCGGCUGCGUGCCCUGGGAGAAGUGGGCUUCGGCGGGGGCUUCCUGCCUCAGCUUUCUAAAUAAAGAGGCCUUGGAUGAGAUCAGCCACCUGCCUGGUCAUCUACCCAGGCCUGGCCCUGUCCAAGCCACCCUCUGGGGUGAGCCUGCCACCCCUUGGAGUACAGGUGGGAUUCGUAGCCCUACUCAGAAAACCCUCAAUAGUCCCCCUGAAUAAAAGCAAAACUUUCUCAUGUCCUUCCAUGGCCUGGUCCCAUCAUGUUUUCUAAACAUGUCUCCUGACUGUCGUUUAAACGGCCUCCACUGCAGGCAGAGUGCAGCCUACGUGUGCCCUGCCCUCCAUCACCUCUGGGCCUUCGCCCAUAUCGUUCCCUCUGCCUGGAAUGCCCUCACGGUCCCCGCCCCACCAUCACCCUAUGCCUAAUGCUUACCUACCGCUCCAAGCCCAAAUGCCUUCUCCUCCAUGAAGCCUUUCCUGAUUCAUCCUAACAGUUAAAUGUGUUUUUCCCCUUGGAUCCAAGAGCACGUUACCCAUGCUGCUUGCAUGGUGCGUAGCACCCUCCCUUGUAUUAAACGCAUUU